CAAUCCCCCCAACACCUCUGCCUGCCGUCCGGCUGGACCAGCCCCGAAAGCCAGAGAACUCUCCCAGCAUGGGUAAAACCCCACGACACGGAGAGGUGUACAUCUGGAUCUACAGCAUUUGCACAUCGUCAGAAGGAUCAGUGACAUCACCCUCCCCGGACGGGGAAUGUGGCAUUAGGAAAUGAGGUACACAGAUCAUUUCCAUCACAGAUGGAGUUCCUUUCUUCCACUGGCUGAUACUACACUCUCCUCCAAGAAAGAUCUACUGAUCUCAAAUUCCUAUAAAUAUGUGAAUCAUCCACUCAGUUUCCUAGUCUUCUUGGAGCCCUUCAACUCAGGAGGAAUUUGAAAACAUUCCUGUUCGCCCAGGCGUUUGAAAGUGGAAGAGGGCUGCGCCUGGCAACCUGAACAUCGCUGAUGAAAGAAUGUUUUUAACUGCAAUUGCGUUUAAGAAUGUUCUGAACUGUU